GACGAACGCUGGCGGCGCGCUUAACACAUGCAAGUCGAGCGAAGCGGCGGACGGGUGAGUAACACGUGAGUAACCUGCCUUAGACAUUGGGAUAGCCUCGGGAAAACGGGAUUAAUACCAAAUGGUCUAAGAGGGACUCGCGUCCCAGUAGCUAGUUGGCGCGGUAAAUGCCCACCAAGGCGACGAUGGGUAGCCGGCCUGAGAGGGUGAACGGCCACAUUGGAACUGAGAAACGGUCCAAACUCUGCGGGAGGCAGCAGUGGGGAAUAUUGCACAAUGGAGGGAACUCUGAUGCAGCGACGCCGCGUGAACGAAGAAGGCUUUCGAGUCGUAAAGUUCUUUUAUAUGGGAAGCGGUACCAUAAGAAAAAGCCCCGGCUAACUACGUGCCAGCAGCCGCGGUAAUAC
rnacentral:rRNA from 1 species